rnacentral:rRNA from 1 species
AGUGAACGCUGGCGGUAGGCCUAACACAUGCAAGUCGAACGGCAGCACAGUAAGAGCUUGCUCUUACGGGUGGCGAGUGGCGGACGGGUGAGGAAUACAUCGGAAUCUACUUUUUCGUGGGGGAUAACGUAGGGAAACUUACGCUAAUACCGCAUACGACCUGCGGGCGAAAGCAGGGGAUCUUCGGACCUUGCGCGAUUGAAUGAGCCGAUGUCGGAUUAGCUAGUUGGCGGGGUAAAGGCCCACCAAGGCGACGAUCCGUAGCUGGUCUGAGAGGAUGAUCAGCCACACUGGAACUGAGACACGGUCCAGACUCCUACGGGAGGCAGCAGUGGGGAAUAUUGGACAAUGGGCGCAAGCCUGAUCCAGCCAUACCGCGUGGGUGAAGAAGGCCUUCGGGUUGUAAAGCCCUUUUGUUGGGAAAGAAAAGCAGCAGGUUAAUACCCCGCUGUUCUGACGGUACCCAAAGAAUAAGCACCGGCUAACUUCGUG